rfam:Canis lupus familiaris chromosome 32, whole genome shotgun sequence.
GGAUUUGCACAGUGGUGGUAUUGUAACCAAUGUGGUUUAUCUGAGGCGUGAUUAUUGCUAAUUGAAAACUUUUCCCUAUAAUAAGCACCAACUAUUCAAAGAUGAAUAUGAGCCAGUUAGUUCGCUAUAAAACUAUUAUAAAAUG